UGCGAAUGGGGGAUGGGAAGGACGUGGUGUUUGCGGGGGGGUCUCACUCUCUGUUCCCUUGCAGAGCCCCCGUCCCGCUCUGCCCCGCUCCCUGCGCUGAUUGGGGCCGUCGCUGGCGCUGCCCUGCUCGCUGGGACAGUUGGGUUUGUUCUCUGGAGGAGGCGGCGCUCAGGGAAAACCGGAGUCAUCAACACUCCAGCUCAGGGGAAAACCAGAGCCAUCGACACUCCAGCUCAGGCCGGCAACCGGGACUCCAGCUCCUCUCUGGAAGCCAGCGACAAAGAAUCCAGCAAAGGAUCCAGCAGGGGUAAGUGCUGGGGGGUCCAGCCCCCCUGGGAUCGGCUGUGGUCACGGAGACCUCUAUGGGGAGACGCUUUCC
rnacentral:lncRNA from 1 species